rnacentral:rRNA from 1 species
GAUGAACGCUGGCGGCGUGCCUAAUACAUGCAAGUCGAGCGAACGGACGAGAAGCUUGCUUCUCUGAUGUUAGCGGCGGACGGGUGAGUAACACGUGGAUAACCUACCUAUAAGACUGGGAUAACUUCGGGAAACCGGAGCUAAUACCGGAUAAUAUUUUGAACCGCAUGGUUCAAAAGUGAAAGACGGUCUUGCUGUCACUUAUAGAUGGAUCCGCGCUGCAUUAGCUAGUUGGUAAGGUAACGGCUUACCAAGGCAACGAUGCAUAGCCGACCUGAGAGGGUGAUCGGCCACACUGGAACUGAGACACGGUCCCGACUCCUACGGGAGGCAGCCGUAGGGAAUCUUCCGCAAUGGCGAAAGCCUGACGGAGCAACGCCGCGUGAGUGAUGAAGGUCUUCGGAUCGUAAAACUCUGUUAUUAGGGAAGAACAUAUGUGUAAGUAACUGUGCACAUCUUGACGGUACCUAAUCAGAAAGCCACGGCUAACUACGUG